rnacentral:rRNA from 1 species
AUUGAACGCUGGCGGCAGGCCUAACACAUGCAAGUCGAGCGGCAGCGGGAAAGUAGCUUGCUACUUUUGCCGGCGAGCGGCGGACGGGUGAGUAAUGCGUCGGAACGCGCCGAGUAGUGGGGGAUAACGCAUCGAAAGGUGUGCUAAUACCGCAUACGAACUGAGGUUGAAAGUGGGGGACCUUCGGGCCUCACGCUAUUCGAGCGGCCGACGUCUGAUUAGCUAGUUGGUGAGGUAAAGGCUCACCAAGGCGACGAUCAGUAGCGGGUCUGAGAGGAUGAUCCGCCACACUGGGACUGAGACACGGCCCAGACUCCUACGGGAGGCAGCAGUGGGGAAUUUUGGACAAUGGGCGCAAGCCUGAUCCAGCCAUGCCGCGUGUCUGAAGAAGGCCUUCGGGUUGUAAAGGACUUUUGUCCGGGAGCAAAUGCUGGUGGCUAACAUCCACCGGAGCUGAGAGUACCGGAAGAAUAAGCACCGGCUAACUACGUGCCAGCCGCCGCGGUAAUAC